AUGACGGUCUGAUCACUUGGUGUGGAAGAGUGAAAACCAGAAGCGUUGGUGAAAACAUUCAGCGAUCCGUCUACGUGUACACCGCAUUUAAAGAGAGCCGAAAAGUGCCGUCCACAGAUUGCUGGAGUUUGAAGCGAUAUUAGUGGCUGUGUAAAUCGCAUUCGCACCGAUGGCAGCUAUAAAGGCUCUUCAACAGUGGAGCAAAAUCAAGUGUGAAGGAUACCGGGAUGUGUCGAUCACAAACAUGACCACGUCAUUUCGCGACGGUUUGGCUUUCUGCGCUCUAAUUCACAAACACAGACCAGACUUGAUAGACUUUGACUCUUUGAGCAAGGAAAAUAUUUAUGAAAACAAUCAACUGGCUUUCCAGGUGGCAGAGGAGUUGGGUAUACCUGCGCUGCUGGACGCAGAAGACAUGGUGGCUUUAAAAGUGCCUGAUCGUCUUAGUAUUCUCACCUAUGUCUCUCAAUAUUACAAUUAUUUCCAAGGACGCUCUGCUAUUGGAGGUAUGUCAGGGGUGAAAAGACCGGCAGAAGAAUCUAAUGAAGAACCAUCUGGGAAGAAGAACCAACCUGUUACAGCUAAAGUUUAUACAUUGCCUGUACCAGCAACAGAGAUUAAGACACCAAAACCAGCAAACGAAAUUAAGAGGGAAGUUCUGGUUGAGCGUGCUAAUAAAACAGGAACUCUGAGCAGCAACUGUAGUGUGUGCAACCAACAUGUUCACCUUGUGCAGCGCCACCUAGUCGAUGGCAAGUUGUACCACAGGAACUGUUUUAGAUGCAAGGAGUGUUCCAAUAUUCUCCUCUCUGGCAUUUACAAGGCUGGAAAAGAACUAGGCACUUUUAUCUGCAAGACACACACAAGCAUUGAGGAGCCUCUGACCACCCAAACAAAGUACAUCACAGGACCACCACAGAAAACAUUGUCUACCGUUAUCAGCAAGAGCACAAACUCCACCCUGACUGAACAGAAUGCUUUGAGUGGAGGUUCUGGAAAGGUUGGUUCAGCGCCUAAUGUAUCUAAACUUGGCUGGCUGACCAGUGAAGGUGACCGUCCACCCACCUGUGAUCCUGUUGCUACACCGUCCCCAGCAGUUCAGCUCACACCAGCACCAAUUACAACUCCAACAUCAACGCUAGCAUCAAAAACAACUCCUACUCCAAUACCAGCACCAAAAACGACUCCAACAUCAACACCAGCACCAAUUACAACUCCAACAUCAACACCAGCAUCAAAAACAACUCCUACUCCAAUACCAGCACCAAAAAUGUCUCCAACACUUGCACCAAAAACGACUCCAACAUCAACACCAGCACCAAAAACGACUCCAACAUCAACACCAGCACCAAAAAUGACUCCAAUUACAACACCAGCACCAAUUAAAACUCCAACAUCAAUACUAGCAUCAAAAACGACUCCAACAUCAACACCAGCACCAAAAAUGACUCCAAUUACAACACCAGCACCAAUUAAAACUCCAACAUCAACACUUGCACCAAAAACGACUCCAACAUCAACACCAGCACCAAAAAUUACUCCAGUUACAACACCAGCACCAAAAACGACUCCAACUCCAGCACCAAUUACAACACCAGCACCAAUUACAACUCCAACAUCAAUACUAGCAUCAAAAACAACUCCAACAUCAACACUUGCACCAAAAACGACUCCAACAUCAACACCAGCACCAAAAAUGACUUCAACAUCAACACCAGCACCAAAAAUGACUCCAGUUACAACACCAGCACCAAUUAAAACUCCAACAUCAAUACUAGCAUCAAAAACAACUCCAACAUCAACACCAGCACCAAUUAAAACUCCAACAUCAAUACUAGCAUCAAAAACAACUCCAAUAUCAACACUAGCAUCAAAAACAACUCCUACUCCAAUACCAGCACCAAAAAUUACUCCAACAUCAACACCAGCACCAAAAACGACUCCAACAUCAACACCAGCACCAAAAACGACUCCAACUCCAGCACCAAUUACAACACCAGCACCAAUUACAACUCCAACAUCAACACUAGCACCAAAAACGACUCCAACACCAGCACCAAAAACAACAACACCAGCACCAAUUUCAACUCCAACAUCAACACCAGCACCAAUUUCAACUCCAACAUCAACACCAGCACCAAAAACGACUCCAACACUAGCACCAAAAACGUCUCCAACACUAGCACCAAAAACGACUCCAACACCAGCACCAAAAACAACAACAACACCAGCACCAAAAACAACUCCAACUCCAGCACCAAUUACAACACCAGAACCAAAAACGACUCCAACAUCAACACCAACACCAGCCCCAAUUACAACACCAGCCCCAAUUACAACUCCAGCACCAAUUACAACACCAAUUACAACUCCAGCACCAAAAACGACUCCAACAUCAACAUCAGCACCAAAAACGACUCCAGAACCAAAAACAACUCCAACACCAGCACCAAAAACGGCUCCAGAACCAAAAACAACUCCAACACCAGCACCAAAAACGGCUCCAGAACCAAAAACAACUCCAACAUCAACACCAGCACCAAAAACGGCUCCAGAACCAAAAACAACUCCAACACCAGCACCAAAAACAACUCCAACACCAGCACCAAAAAUGGCUCCAGAACCAAAAACAACUCCAACAUCAACACCAGCACCAAAAACGGCUCCAGAACCAAAAACAACUCCAACAUCAACUCCAGCACCAAAAACAACUCCAACACCAGCACCAAAAACGACUCCAACACCAGCACCAAAAACAACAUCAACUCCAGCACCAAAAACAACUCCAACUCCAGCACCAAUUACAACACCAGAACCAAAAACGACUCCAACAUCAACACCAGCCCCAAUUACAACACCAGCCCCAAUUACAACACCAGCCCCAUUACAACUCCAGCACCAAUUACAACACCAGAACCAAAAACGACUCCAACAUCAACACCAGCCCCAAUUACAACACCAGCCCCAAUUACAACUCCAGCACCAAUUACAACACCAAUUACAACUCCAGCACCAAAAACGACUCCAACAUCAACACCAGCACCAAAAACGACUCCAGAACCAAAAACAACUCCAACACCAGCACCAAAAACGACUCCAGAACCAAAAACAACUCCAACAUCAACACCAGCACCAAAAACGACUCCAACACCAGCACCAAAAACAACAUCAACACCAGCACCAAUUACAACUCCAGCACCAGCAUCUACAAACAUAAAAACCCCCAUUAACCUCAGAACGCCCACUGAGAUGCCUAAACCCAUAAGCAACAGUGUACAGAAGAACCAAGAAGUCAGAAAAAGAUUAUUUGAUUCAAGCACCAAUUCCAGCAGUGUUGUUCUUCCCAAUAAGAGCACCUCAGCAGACACAUCUACUACAUCAGUGACUCCAGGAGGUCUUAAAACUUCUUCAUCAGAGCACACAAUAUCUGGCACCUCUGCUGGAACAG